UACGUAGGGUGCGAGCGUUAAUCGGAAUUACUGGGCGUAAAGCGUGCGCAGGCGGUGAUGUAAGACCGAUGUGAAAUCCCCGGGCUUAACCUGGGAACUGCAUUGGUGACUGCAUUGCUGGAGUAUGGCAGAGGGGGGUGGAAUUCCACGUGUAGCAGUGAAAUGCGUAGAGAUGUGGAGGAACACCGAUGGCGAAGGCAAUCCCCUGGGCCUGCACUGACGCUCAUGCACGAAAGCGUGGGGAGCAAACAGGA
rnacentral:rRNA from 1 species